GAGACAGCAGCAGCCGCGGUAAUACGAAGGGUGCAAGCGUUACUCGGAAUUACUGGGCGUAAAGCGUGCGUAGGUGGUGGUUUAAGUCCGUUGUGAAAGCCCUGGGCUCAACCUGGGAAUUGCAGUGGAUACUGGGUCACUAGAGUGUGGUAGAGGAUAGUGGAAUUUCCGGUGUAGCAGUGAAAUGCGUAGAGAUCGGAAGGAACAUCUGUGGCGAAGGCGACUAUCUGGGCCAACACUGACACUGAGGCACGAAAGCGUGGGGAGCAAACAGGAUUAGAUACCCCUGUAGUCCCUGUCUCUUAUAC
rnacentral:rRNA from 1 species